rnacentral:tRNA from 1 species
UGCUCCGUGGCGCAAUGGUAGCGCGUCUGACUCAAGAUCAGAAGGCUGGGUGUUCGAGUCACUCCGGGGUCA